CUAACACAUGCAAGUCGAGCGAGGCGUCUGGUGCUUGCACCAGGCAAUGGUCGAGCGGCGAACGGGUGAGUAACACGUGAGAAACCUGCCCCGAAGACCGGGAUAACUCGAGGAAACUCGUGCUAAUACCGGAUGUCCCCAUUGGGUCACCUGGCCCGAUGAGGAAAUGCUCCGGUGCUUUGGGAGGGUCUCGCGGCCUAUCAGCUCGUUGGUGAGGUAACGGCUCACCAAGGCUAAGACGGGUAGCUGGUCUGAGAGGACGAUCAGCCACACUGGGACUGAGACACGGCCCAGACUCCUACGGGAGGCAGCAGUGGGGAAUCUUGCGCAAUGGGCGAAAGCCUGACGCAGCAACGCCGCGUGGGGGAUGACGGCUCUCGGGUUGUAAACCCCUUUCAGGAGGGACGAAAAUGACGGUACCUCCAGAAGAAGCCCCGGCCAACUACGUGCCAGCAGCCGCGGUAACACGUAGGGGGCAAGCGUUGUCCGGAUUUAUUGGGCGUAAAGAGCUCGUAGGCUGCUUGGUAAGUUGGGUGUGAAAU
rnacentral:rRNA from 2 species